UGACCUGCUCUUGUCAUCAACUGUUUUAAGUCAACAAACAGUAAACAGAGUGACUGAGGGAGAUCUACCCACUGAUUGACUCCACACAUGACCACAAGAGCCAGUUCUGGACCAAGCUAAAACCAGGAGCCAGGAACUUCACACUGCUCUUCCAUGCUUGAACCAUCUUCUUCUGCCUUCCAGACACAACAGCAAAACAAAGGCUGAGAAGCUGGAUCUUCAGCUAGAGCUCUGGUAUGGGAAAGUGGUGUCACAAGCCACGGCUUAAUCUACUGGCCAUAACCUCAGUCUAACCACUUCUUCCUGAGAAAGAUAGGAGAAGGAAAGUAUCUCCUAAAAUUCACCUGCUCCAUCUACCUUGGAAAGCACAACUUUGGAAAGCACUCAAAAAUGGAGUCGAGGUCCAGGCAGAGUGACUGGCAGGGAGCACUCGCCCAGGCACUGCCCAAUCUCCUUCACAGUGUGGAGCCAUAUCCUCGAGGAUGACGAAGGAUGAGGCCAUGGCUUCCCUGCAAGACCCACUUUCCCGGCUAACCUUUCUCCUGCCAUAGAGACAUGCUGCAAAGCCUUGAAUGAAGACUAACGCUGCCCUUGACCUUUAGAGCAUAAAGUUUGCUAAGGCACAAAAAUCAGCCAUGAGUGAAAUGCUGGCCUUAAAAUGAAGAAAGGAAUUUCAGACGUUGCCUCUUGUCCAAGAAUUUCUACAUGGACCAGAACUCUGCUCAUUGUGAAGAUUACUGAAAGGAA